CCACUCAAGGUCAUGUGACUGAAGACCCCUAUGAAGGCCAUGAGAAGUGCACAUGUGUGUUCAAAGAGCCAAACGUAUGAUGGAACAAACAGGAUGGAUAACUGAACAAACCUCAACUCUAUUCAUCACUAAAGACUGUGGUGAUGGUGGAGAGAUAAAAAACUACAAAUGAACUGCUUCUGAUGGUAACUGUGCAACCAAACCUGAGUAGAAGCCAAAAUCCAGAAUGAAACAUAACAGGACGUGUAUGCGGUUGCAACUAAACAGUUCAGCGUAUCCUCCAUUCCCGGCUCUCCUCUCCGGUCUAAUCUCUGGAGUACAUCUCAAGCUUGUCCCGAGCUGUCUGUGGGUUUCAUGUUAUCACAGAUAAAGUGAGUGUACACAGUGUUAAUCAGAUCAUCAGUGUUAAUCAGUGUUAACCACCAUAGUGACGAUGCUGUGCUCUUGCGCACAUUACGCAUCAUGCUACUCGCAUCCCAGAUAUUCAGAUUUAAUCUUUCUCAUACCUUUUUUUGAGUAAAAAGAGCACAGAUGUCUCUCGCUCUCUCUUUUGCUCUUCUGUGAAAACAACAUUUUAGAAAUCCUGUCUAGGAAAUCAAUUCUUUCACGUGUAGAAAUCUUUAGAGAAUUAAUAAAACAUAUAGGGACAUCAGCUCAACCCCAAAGACAUUUAUUUACUACACUAAACUACUAUUUGCAAAUUAUUAAAAUUUUUCAUAUUUUAAUGAACGUCACUUUUUAUUCAUUUCAUUAUUAUUCAUUUUUAUUGCAUACAUUAAUAGCUGAAAUUAUAGUGAAUUCAUAAGAUACAUUUUUCUUUAUUUUUUCUAUUUAUUUCUUUAUUUUUUAUUUCUUUCCAUCUUUAUUUACUUGUACAGCUAUAUGUCCAUUUUAUUUUAUUUUCAUUUAUUUUACUUUUAAAUUCCAUUUUUGACCCUAUUUUUAUUUUUAGAACCCGGAUUGUCGUAAAAAGCAUUUCACAGCAUGUUGUACUGCGUAUAAUUGAUUAUAUGACAAAUAAAC